AUUGUACCUAACACUUCUUUUAUCUUAUCUUUUACCCAGUUCUGUUCAGAAUAGUGAACGUGGCAAAAAAAUUGGAAACGUCAUGGUCACAACUAGCCGGAAUGUUGUACAAACAGGAAAAGCUGUUGGCCAGUCAGUUGGAGGAGCUUUUUCCAGUGCAAAGACAGCUAUGUCUUCAUGGCUUUCCACUUUCACCACUUCCACCUCCCAAAGUCUCACUGAGCCACCAGAUGAGAAGCCUUGAGCAAGGCGUCAGAGGCUGCUAUUGCUUUCUGAGGUUUAAGUGUCCCCUGUCUGUCUGCUGCUCCCAGGCUGUUACUAGCCACAGAUCCACAGCAGGGGACCAUAUGUCGAACUGUUUACAUGGAUGUUGCUCUAAGUGAAUGUUUCGGGAUGCCGAAAUGAUGAAAUCACAGCCAUAGCAGGGAUGGCUUUCCAGGUUGGGGUUUCAAUUGACUACUUUUAUUUCAGUCUGAGCCUGAUUAAAACAUACAGUGAACCUUCUAAUGAAUUUUGAGUUCUGAUAUUGUACAUUGGUUUACU
rnacentral:lncRNA from 1 species